AGAAAUGAGGACAAGAACAUUCACCUGGUGUUUCUCUCAGCUUCUCAGAUGACCAAGGUGGUGCUGCAGAUGGUGCUGAGGAAGGAGAACCCACCAAGCCCCGCUAGGAGCCACCUAGACCGGAUGCAGAGCAUGGUUCAGCGGCUUCUCCAAACCAGCCUCCCAGGAAUUCCCUUCUCCGUGGCCGUGAGGGGAUCAGAAAGAGACCCUGACUCCUCUCCUGAGGCCCCUUCCACACCUGAGCCAGCAGGACCCACGCAGCAGAGGUCAUCUGUCCCCAGCUUGCCCCACUGAGGUCAGCACGGCUGGCCAGGGUAGCUUGUCUCUCAGCUCCCAUCCUGUGUACUUCCACAUUGGUUUAACCAGAGCAAAACUGAAAUCUACAAUUGUCAUAAACACAUUUAAAUGUGCGUAGGAUCAGCCAUAAAAAUUAUGAAACAUA